rnacentral:rRNA from 1 species
UCAGAACGAACGCUAGCGGCAUGCCUCAAACAUGCAAGUCGUACGAGAACCUUCGGGUAUGAGUAAGUGGCGCACGGGUGCGUAACACGUAGCUACGUACCCUCUCGCUGGGGAUAACUCCGGGAAACCGGGGCUAAUACCGAAUGAUGUCUGCGGACUAAAGCCUUGGCGCGAGAGGAGCGGGCUGCGGCUGAUUAGCUUGAUGGUGGGGUAAAAGCCUACCAUGGCAUCGAUCAGUAGCUGGUCUGAGAGGAUGAUCAGCCACACUGGAACUGAAACACGGUCCAGACUCCCACGGGAGGCAGCAGUUGGGAAUAUUGCACAAUGGGGGAAACCCUGAUGCAGCAAUGCCGCGUGAGGGAAGAAGGCUUUCGGGUCGUAAACCUCUUUCAGUAGGGAAGAAUUUGACGGUACCUACAGAAGAAGCACCGGCUAACUCCGUGCCAGCAGCCGCGGUAAUACGGAGGGUGCAAGCGUUGUUCGGAAUCAUUGGGCGUAAAGCGCGUGCAGGCGGUUUGUUAAGUCUGGUGUGAAAGCCCGGGGCUCAACCCCGGAAGUGCACUGGAUACUGGCAAACUAGAGAGCGAGAGAGGAAAGUGGAAUUCCUGGUGUAGGGGUGAAAUCCGUAGAUAUCAGGAGGAACAUCAGUUGCGAAGGCGGCUUUCUGGCUGUUUCUGACGCUGAGACGCGAAAGCGUGGGUAGCAAACAGGAUUAGAUACCUGGUAGUCCACGCCCUAAACGAUGGAUACUAGUUGUUGGAAUCCUAAGUUUCAGUAACGAAGCUAACGCAUUAAGUAUCCCGCCUGGGGAUUACGGUCGCAAGACUAAAACUCAAAGGAAUUGACGGGGGCCCCACAAGCGGUGGAGCAUGUGGUUUAAUUCGAUGCUACGCGAACAACCUUACCGGACUUGACAUCCGGGCUACUCGGGAAACCAGAGGUUCCCUUCGGGGACCCGGACAGGUGCUGCAUGGCUGUCGUCAGCUCGUGUUGUGAGAUGUUGGGUUAAGUCCCGCAACGAGCGCAACCCUCGUCACUAGUUACCAGCAUUAAUUGGGCACUCUAGUGAGACCGCUGGCUAUAAGCCAGAGGAAGGUGGGGAUGACGUCAAGUCCUCAUGGCCCUUAUGUCCAGGGCUACACACGUGCUACAAUGGAAAGUACAAAUCGCAGCGAGCUCGCAAGAGUCAGCUAAUCGCAAAAAACUUUUCACAGUUCGGAUUGGAGUCUGCAAUUCGACUCCAUGAAGUUGGAAUCGCUAGUAAUCGCGGAUCAGAUGCCGCGGUGAAUACGUUCCCGGGCCUUGUACACACCGCCCGUCACACCAUGGGAGCUGAUUGUACCGGAAAACGUUGAGCUAACUUCGGGAGGCAGGCGUUUAUGGUAUGGUUGGUGACUGGGGUG